rnacentral:rRNA from 3 species
UCAAACUUGGUCAUUUAGAGGAAGUAAAAGUCGUAACAAGG